CUCAAGAACACUGUACUUUGCGUUAGCCCGGCCUGUCCUGAGAGACUGCGGGAGGCGAAGGGAACGCGCUGUGGCUGCGGGAAGCGCCGGGACGGGGCAGUCAGGCCGGAGGGCGCUUCGCGAGGGAAAGGGCUGCGUGUGCUUCAGAAUCACCUGGGAUGAUCUGAAUAAAGAUUUGUGGCCUCUACCAAAAACUGAAGCAGAAAGGGAGCAAGAAGAUGAGGAAUGCUUAAGAAACUGCAUUAACAAACUCUACAACAUACAGAAGCAUGGGAACUACUGCCUCAAGGACCUCAAGAAAUGAAGAUUCUCCUUCAUUCACUGGGUGGGGAAUGCAGAGGGGGAAGACCAGAGAUUCUGCAUAUCUAAAAUGCUUUCAGGUGAUGCCCAUGCUGCUGAUCUGAGGAUCACACUUGGAGUGGCAAGACCUUAGGCAGUUUCUUUGGAUACUUCGUUUUCCUUCCUAAAUUUUUGGUUUGUACAUGAGACAAAUUCUUACUAGUAUUAAAAACUGUAUUACAAUGUAGGACAAAAACUAUUACAAUAUAUAAUUUGGCUAAAGUUGCUUGCAAAAUAGGAAAAAUAAAGGAAAAAAACAGUACCUUUGUGUACAUAAUAAUCUUGGACUAUAGGUAUAAUGCUUUCAGAGAACUUCUUGGAGCUUCUAAUGUAUAGUCACAGCUAAAAAGCCUAUUCCUAGACCAUGGGACUUUCAAAAGAAAGAACUGCAGCCAAACACUGGAGAUAAAGGUUUUUCUUCCAAGAGAAUUAUCAUCACCACUCCUUAUUCCUCCUAGAUUCUCCAUGUGUUUGUGUGCUACUGUGUUUUUAGAAGUAUGAUUUAGGUCCAGCUCUAUAAAGCAAUCAUCAUACAAAUUCUUUCAUUAGGGAGCUUAAGCAACAUGAAUCAGAAAAGCCGGGAGUUGUCAUAUGUAUUCCUUUUUCUUUUGUGAGACGGAGUCUCACUCUGUCACCAGGCUGAAGUGCAGUGACGUGAUCUCGGCUCACUGCAACCUCUGCCUGCUAGGUUCAGGUGAUUCUCCUGCCUCAGCCUUCUGCGUAGCUGGCACUACAGGCAUGCACCAUCAUGCCUAGCUAAUUUUUAUAUUUUUAGUAGAGAUGGGGUUUCACCAUGUUGGCCAGGAUGGUCUCAAUCUCCUGACCCUGUGAUCCGCCCGCCUCGGCCUCCCAAAGUGCUGGGAUUACAGGUGUGAGCCACCACGCCCGGCCAGGGAUUCCUUUUGCUUAAUCAGUAUAUACAAAUCCUUUUUUACACAGUUGCUCACCACGAAAAAUUUUUGUUUGAAACCUAGAAAGAUUAAGCAGUAAAGAGUUAAUAACCUAAUACUAAGCCAUCAAAAUACUAUUUAGUUCAAACUUCUUUUAAAACAAUGUAAAAAAAAAAUUUAAUGCUUAAAUAAUACAGCAAAUUCCCAAGCCCUAUAAAUAGGUCUAAGAAGCAGAAACUCAGAAAAUGCUGACUGACCUAUCUAAAUAGUUCAUUCUUCAAACAUUUUUUAAAAUGUCCUACCUGAUUCAUCAUUGAAGGAGGUAAAACUGAUCAGCAUUUGCACAUUGACUUCACCGCAGCCAUUUACCAAAAGCCUAAAAUCUUCUGCCGUUAAAUCUUCUAAUGAAUUUUUUGGAAGCACAUCUAGUAGACCUUUCCUCAUUGCCUAGAGAAUUUCAGAAUCAAUACUUCAUUUUCCAUGUAACAUUUAUAUUAAAGCACAAUAACUAAUUUUAGCAGCCUUCUCUAAGGAUGUUAGUUCCUAUUUUAAACCAGAGAGCAAACAAAAUUCAGUCUUGUAUUUUUUAUUUAAGAUUCAAAAGAGAGACAGGAAGUAGGGAGGAAAGGCACAAUGAAUAAGCUAUAGGUUCAAAAGUGAAGUAGAAUUAUGUACCAGUGGCUAACAAAAUUUUUAAAUUAUGUUAAUAAUAGGCUAGUCAUUAAGAAUAGCUUCAGUCUGUCAAAACUGCUAUCCUGUCAGCAUCUUAGGAAAGAUAGAGUGACAACAAUAAAUCUCCCAGACACAAACCCAAAAGCUAGAGGCUUACUGAGAAAUUACCAUGUGCCAGGAAUUGUUCUGAGAACCUUACCUAAUUCAAUUUAAUCUUAUCCUCAUUUUGCAAAGGAGGGACCCAAUGCACAGAAAACUUAAUGUGGUAACAUCGUACAGCUAUGGGGUGGUAGAGCCAUGAUCUGAGCUUGGACAGUAUGACUCCAAAGACUGCAAAAUUAUUGUAGCACAGGAUCAAACACUCGCCACCACCAGUCAUAAUCUACAUAAACAUCUCACCAGCCGGGCGUGGUGGCUCACGCAUGUAAUCCCAGCACUUUGGGAGCCCGAGGCGGACAGAUCACGAGGUUAACAGACUAUCCUGACCAACAUGGUGAGGAUAGAAGAUUAUUUUUGUCUCUACUAAAAAUACAGAAAUUGGCUGGGUGUGGAGGCGUGCUCCUGUAGCCCCAGCUACUCAGGAGGCUGACGCAGGAGAACUAAACCCAGGAGGUGGAGGUUGCAGUGAGCCAAGAUCGUGCCACUGCACUCCAGCCUGGUGACAGAGCAAGACUCCAUCUCAAGAAAAACAAAAAAACAUUUUACUCUGGAUGGGGAACAAAUUAACAUAGUAGGAUUGAUGUUACUCUUUAGAUGGGCCUGACUUUAGGGUUGGGGUUGGCAUUGGCUAGCGUCUGAGAACUUGCUUUUUGGAAUAUUCCAAUAUUACUAACUGACAGGGCUGGCUGGAGCUACGAACCGUGCUGUAUCAGACUACCUAGACUAUUUGUGCCAACAAUACAGUUCAAGAUGAGUAUGUGCUUUCUUCAGGGAUUCUGGAAUUUCAGUAAUCAUGGCUGGCUGUGCAGUCAGAAAAUGCCCAUGGAACUAGCCUCCAAUGAAAACAGCUCUGACUCCAAAGUGGGCUUCCCUAAGCACAAAUAACAUAUACAUGACGACAGAUCUCACUGGUGGAAGAAAUGCAUUCGAUGAAAUAGCUCAUGCCCCUCCUUGAGAGAGAACUUUGAAAGCCUGCACCUGGAUUCCUCUGCUGCCUAAAAUGUUUUUUCCCUGCUGAUCUUGCUGUGGGUCCUUUUGCUACAAUAAACAAUAACUAUUAAGUACAA